AGAAAGGGAAACUGAUGCCUGAUACACAGUAAAUCAGGAGAUGUCUUUCUCCAGGACCAUGGACAGCACAAGGGUACAGCGAUCCUGGACCUACAAUAUGGAAACCUCUGCAUUUACGCAUGACUACCAAACCUUCCCACUCAUAACUGGGUAAAACAUGCUUGCCCCUAUCUCAAGGGUAGAUCCUUUUCAUGAGCUGCAGUGGUUUUCCACUCGUGUUCUCAAGUGAGAGUGUUUACUGGUGUUCUCUCUGCAAAUCAGCCACAAGUCACGGUAGCCCUAUCUGGAGUAUUUUCUAGUCCUUACCUGUUCACAGCCUGCUUUAAAUUAGUCAAAAGGCAGCACCUUAAGGUUCCCUGAAACAUCUUAGAUACACAGCUCAUAGGCAGAUGGGACUUGCCUUGUCUCAGAUGAGACCUUGGACUGUGGACUUCUGAGUUAAUGCUGAAAUGAAUUAAGACUUUGGGGGACUAUUGCUACGCCACUAGAACAAAAAUACCUGAAGCCAACUGAAACUAAGCUGAGAUUUGCUGCCUGAAAACAAGCCCAGCCAAUCCCAGUGAAAGCCAGCCGAUCCAAUGAUAAAAACAGAGCCUCAGCCAAUAUCUACACCAAUGAAUGGAGAAAUAAAUGUUCAUUGUUUAAACAACUGAGUCAGGAUGUUGUAUUUCAGAGUAUUAUUUUGACAAGAGCUGAUAAAUACAGAAAUUGAUACCAGAUAUAGGGUGCUGAUAGUAAUGUGUAAUGAGGAAACCCUUUUAAGAGGCUGAGAAAACAAUGGCAUCUAUUAUGUAGAAAUAUGACUUUUGGUAAAGAUUGUCAUUUCACUAAGUGGAAAAAUUCUACAAAUGUAUCUAGUAAAUUAAUUUUCUUUUAUCAAAGAAGUUUAUAGGUAGACCUUUAAUAGUGUGAACUAUAUUUGAUAAGAUAUAACAAUAACAAACCUGAUAGGCUUAGAAAAGGACAAGCCAAUUUGUCAACAGAAAUGUGAAAGAGCAGAGAAAGAUAAGAAACUGAAUAGUAAUUAAAAUUAUUUCUAACCAAAGUUGUGACCAUUAAAAAGUAGCCGCUAGAAAAAGACUAAAUUCAACAUGAGAUCACAAGACAUGCCAUCAAGACAAACAUAAAAUCAGAGACAUGUAAAAGGAUUAAGGUGUCUUUAAUAGGCUAAUUGUCCUACACAUUAUAGUUUUGUUUGUUUGUUUGUUUGUUUUAGAUGGAGUUUCACUCUUGCUGCCCAGGCUGGAGAACAGUGGCACGAUCUUGUCUCACCACAACCUCUACCUCCUGGGUUCAAGAGAUUCUCCUGUCAGCCUCCCAAGUAGCUGGAAUUACAGGCAUGCGCCACCACACCUGGCUAAUUUCUUUGUAUUUUUAGUAGCCACAGGGUAUCUCCAUGUUGAUCAGGCUGGUCUCGAACUCCCAACCUCAGGUGAUCCACCCACCUCAGCCUCCCAGAGUGCUGGGAUUACAGGCGUGAGCCACCGCACCAGUCUCACAUUAUGUUUUUAUCCAAAUUACCUGUAGUCAAGUCUAGACUGAGGCAAAGAAGAAGGUAGACAGACAGGUAGGCAGGUAGGUAGGUAGGUAGGUAGGUAUAGUCACAAAUCAAAGUGUGGGUAUGUUUUUUGGAAAAUGGAAUUAUGUAAGAUCAUACAUAGAAAACUCACCACAUAUUUCAGACAGCUGUGCUAAUGAAAGCACCCACACCCUGGAUUAAAAGAAACUAUUUGAGAUGAAAAAGCAUAAUGCAUGUGCCACCAGUAUCAUACUUGUAAUUGGACUAAAAGAGUCUCAAGUUGCCAAGGAGGGAAUAGUCUCCAGUUAUUUCCUCUAAGGAGUAAGAACAGGAGAGACAUCCUGGAAAGCGGAGGCAAAUACUGUCAAUAAUAUUGAAUUUGGGACCUGUUUUGAAACAAGAAGAAAGAAUCCUAAACCAGUAAACUAUCUAAACAAAGGGUAACGUGAAAACAUUUAUCCAGUUGCCAUAUACCACUGAAUUCUAUAUGACUCAAAUGAUUUCCGUUUUCAAAUAUCACAAUUCCACCAGUUGUUCUGAACCUCCUUUAUUUUCUUUUUUCAUAAUUGCAUGUUUCAUGUAUGUUUUUGUUUACUGGUCUCUGGAGCAAGAAAAGCUACAUUCACACUUAGUAUGUUCUCAGUAUUCUAGAAUUUUAGCCUAAGGCUAUAAAUAAAUGAGACUUUUAAUGAUGCAUAAGGAAGGUGUGUAUGUAUAUUUUACACGCAAGAGGAAAGAAAGAGGAUGUUUGUGAACAAGAGUUUGGACUGCAAUAAC
rnacentral:lncRNA from 10 species